rnacentral:misc_RNA from 1 species
ACCACUCGCCACAUACCCGCACCGCCACCACCGGGCGGCCCUCUCUGCAAUCCGUCUCUCGCUCUCAGACUUCGUCGCAGUGCCUCUAUCAGCUCUUCUUUCUCACUGCUGUGAUUACACACGGCACAGCGAGACCCUCACUGUGUGCGCCCCUUCCCCUCCAGGCCUCUAGGUGCACCGUCUGCCUCCCUAUCCCCCUCCCUAUCCCCCUCUCUUCCCCCCGCCUUCGCGUUCCUCUUCGCACCGGCUCGCCCGCUGCGGCUCUCUUGUGUGACCGAGGCGCCCGACAACAGCAGAGGUACGCAGGCACGACUGAGGCGGCCGCUCUGAGGCAUCUGCGCCAUCGACACGCAGCAGCGGUCUGCGUUUCUGUCGCCUUCCUCUCGAGCAUAUCCCUCGCUUCGACAGCAUGACGCAGCUGCACCGUCGUGUGGCGCUGAUCGCCGUUCUCGCAGCGGCGGUGCUGUUGACGCUUGCCGCUCCCGUGGCGCGUGCCAGGGUGGCGAGCCCAUGGGAUGCGGUCGAGGACGACGGCCUUCAGGAGAGAGAGAUGGAUGCCGAUGAUGAGCCGUUCUUUAUAAGUGAGGCAGAGAGGUCGAACACGCUGAAGGUGAUGCGGGCGUUUGCUGCGGCGAUGCCCUCGCUGGGGUGGAGCGGAGCCGACUUCUGCACGUGGGCUGGCGUGAGGUGCUUCGAUACGAAUGUGAGCUUUAUCGCCACUGGUAGCUUGGCUACCGGCACGCUGCCUGAAAUGCCUGAUGACGUGGACUACUCGCUGGUGAAGCUCGAUCAGAUCAACCUCUUCGACCAGAACACCGGUAUCACUGGAACCCUGCCGAGCAGCUGGAGCAAGCUGCAUAAGGUUAGGACAGUCAACCUUGGAUACACGAGCAUCAGCAGCACGCUACCCGCGUCGUGGAGCUCGAUGAGCUCGCUGAGGUUCUUGACCCUGAGUUCCACGGAUGUAUUCGGCACGCUGCCGGCUGCCUGGAGCUCGAUGUCGGCGAUUGAGCAAAUCGUCAUUUCCAGGACUCAGAUCACCGGCACUCUUCCUGAGGAGUGGAGCACUAUGCCGAACGUUCGGAGGAUACACUUUCAACAGUGCAACCUGUACGGCUCCUUCCCCGCGUCCUGGGCACGGAUGCCGUCGCUUGAGCGCUUGGGCCUUCAGAAGAACAACUUCUGUGGCUGCGUACCGGACUCGUGGCUGACGUCACCAACGCUAUGGGUGGGCGUGGACGCCAAGCAUCGCAUGGCUGACUGUGCGACUGCCCACGCCUGCGCUGAGACCACAACGCCCGAGCCCGUCCCCAGCAGCUCCGGCUCGGCCGGCGAGGUGUCCGGGUCGUCGAGCUCGAGCACCGCCACGACCGCGGAGCCGACUACGAGCACAACGUCCCCCACGCCAUGCCCGACCCCGUGCCGCGUUCCGAACUGCAUGUCGUGCGCACCCGGCAACUCGAUGCGGUGCAGCGUGUGCUUCCCCGGAUACGUGCUGACAGCUGGCGGGUGGUGCAUGAGGCACACUGGUGAGGAUGCUGCUGUGUUUCCUGUGGGGACUGCUGCUGCCGCUGCUGUCUCCGCGACGGUGGUGGUGAUGGGCGCGGUGCUUGCGUAGGGUGAGGCUGUGGGCGUGAGCUGGCGGUGCAGUGCUCAGCGGCGCCUCUUCGUGCGCCUCGGCGCCUGUCUUGUGCAUUGCGACGUGUGUGCCUUCUGUUGCCGCCGGCGCCCACGGGGUGCCCUCGGUGUCCCCUGCGGUGCGAGGAGGCGAGAGGGUGCGCCUGCAGGAGACUGCCGGGCGUCACCACGCAUGCGAGUCCCGCCCUCCCCUCUGUCGCCCUCGUGUCCCGCAGCAGACUCUCGCCUGCCGACACGCGACUGCCUCGUGCGCUUCUCCGCACUGGUCUCGCUGGCCUUGUCACCGCUUGCUCGCUGCUGUGGCUGCGUGGCCGCUGCUCUCUCCUCACCCUGCUUCUUCCGUUUUGGCGCCUUGCGGCUGUGCGGGCUUUGCGCCCUGCUGGUCCUCUUUCCUGACUGACGUCUGUCUGAUGCUUCGGGGGCGGGUCGUUUCCGGUUGCGUGCCGUGCGUGCGGUGGGCCGGCGCUCUUUUUGUGGUGCGCUGUGCUCGACUCCGCCUCCGCCUCCGCCUCCUCCUCCUCCCUCGUCGCUGACCUUUUGUGCGAGUGGCUGCGCUUCACCGGCGCCUCGAGGGCAUCGCGCUGCGCGCUGCCGUGUGCACUUGCUGGCGUGUGCGAGGCGGGACGCGGGGCGGCACACGAGAGCCGGGGAGGGCGUGGGGGUGGAUUGUGGGGUUCUGCUCGCGUGCGCCUUGUGCCUAUUCGCUCACUCCCCCUGCUCUUCUCCGUCCUUGUCAGGAUGCCCUGUGCUUCCUCUGCCGAAGUGCGCUCUCUCGUUGCCAAGCUGCUACCGACGCGUUUCUGUGCUCUGUGCUUGCUCAGCGCGCGUACGCUCCGACGAGGCCCUUGGCCCGCCUGGACGUGCCCUGCCAUUCUCUGUAGGCCUCGAUCGCCGUGGCGAGCGCACGCGGCUGUGCUUCGCCGUUUGCGGCGCGGGUGCUGUUCUCUCACUUGUCGUCCCCGGCUCCUACAUGUGGCCUCUGCUGUGCGACUGCAGGUGGUGGCAUACAUUUUUGUGCUGGUGUGAGGUGGGGGCGGUGUGAAUGGCGAAAGGGCGACGCGCGUGGGAGAGGAGGGGGCUGUGGGCGCCGUUAUGAGGUCGUGCACUUCAGCUCACGAGACGGGCCGGGGAUCGAGGGGAGGGCAAGGAGGAAGGGAAGGGUGCAAUAUCCGGGCGAUGCGCCGUCGCGGUUGCGACCGGCUGUCUCUUGUGCUGUGCGUGUUUUGCGUCUCUCUUUUUAUUGCUUUUGUUUGUAUCGCGUGCUGGCGUCCGUGCGCGGGCACUCAUCGCACUGCUGCUCGCCAUCUCUGUGCGUUGACCGCGCUGUCGUCCUCCUCUCACGAGCGGAGGCAACUUGUUUCGCUUUUCCUUUUCAUUGUUCGUGUUUCCAUUGCACGAGUGCUGUGGUGCCCGGUCGUGGUUUGUGCCGUCCGCCAUAUGCUCGACAGGGGGUUCUCUCGGUGAGGGUGCCCCUUUCUCCAUUUCGAGGUGUUCCUCUCUCUUUUCUUUCUUACAGUUUUUAUUACUUGGCUUGGCUGAUGCCGUUCAUUUUUUGUUUCUCAUUCUCUCAGUCUAACUCCGUCCAUCAAAGGCUCUUUCAUUCUCUGGUGCAUUGUUUGCUGCGUUGUGUCUGCUGAUCCGAUGCCUCUGUCGCUCUCUGCCUCCGGAAGCCUCAGAGCGACAUGGAAUCGCGUACGGAGCGCGCUUGCUGUAGCGGAAAGGCGAUGAGGCGGGGAUGUGCUUGUGACGGCGCCGGCGCAGCAGAGCGGAUGACGCCUGUAAAUGCAAAGGAGAAACGCAACGCUGCAGACAGGGGAGAGGGGCAGCCGUUUACUGUACGACGUGGUGGAAGCCGCGCGUCACUGGUCUUGUGCUGUGCACUCGGGUGACGCCGACGGCGCACCUGUGCUCCUCCCUCCCCACUGGGCUCGCUCGCGUAUGCCUCGUCUGUGCGUCUGCUUUCAGGACUUCCGCCUGACUCCGUGGCGUCUUUUGCUGCCUCGUUUUGCGUUGUGUCCAACGAUUGUCGACUGCUCUCCCAUCGGCUCCUCCCCGUUCUUUGGCAUCCUCACGCCCAUGUUUCGGCCUUCGAUGUGCCGCUCUUUUUCUUCGCACCGGCGAGUGCGUGUGUGCGCUGUGUUCUUCAUGCUCUGUAACAUGUUGCCCCUAUUCGUUGUUUAUUCCGGCUCCCUCCCCCACGGCUCCUCUCUCCCCUCCCCUUCGCUGGCGGCUGAAUUGCAG